ensembl:miRNA
AAUUGAGAAGGGAUAAGGAGGUGUGUGGAGAAGGCAAUGGCACCCCACUCCUGGUACCAACAU